rnacentral:rRNA from 1 species
AGAGUUUUAUCAUGGCUCAGAACGAACGCUGGCGGCGUGCCUAACACAUGCAAGUCGAGCGCGAAUAGGGGCAACCCUUAGUAGAGCGGCGCACGGGUGCGUAACACGUGGAUAAUCUGCCUGAGUGCUCGGGAUAACCAGUCGAAAGAUUGGCUAAUACCGGAUAAGCCCACGGUUUCUUCGGAGACUGAGGGAAAAGGUGGCCUCUGCAUGCAAGCUAUCACAUUCAGAUGAGUCCGCGGCCCAUCAGCUAGUUGGCGGGGUAAUGGCCCACCAAGGCGACGACGGGUAGCUGGUCUGAGAGGACGAUCAGCCACACUGGAACUGAGACACGGUCCAGACUCCUACGGGAGGCAGCAGUGGGGAAUUUUGCGCAAUGGGCGAAAGCCUGACGCAGCAACGCCGCGUGUGUGAUGAAGGUCUUUGGAUUGUAAAGCACUUUCGACCGGGAAGAAACCCUGUUGGCUAACAUCCAACAGCUUGACGGUACCGGGAGAAGAAGCACCGGCUAACUCUGUGCCAGCAGCCGCGG